rnacentral:tRNA from 1 species
GGGAUUGUACCUUAAUGGUGAGAGGUCUGUCCCUGCACUGGCAGAAGUUGCGGGUUCGAGUCCCGUCAAUCUCG